rnacentral:rRNA from 1 species
CGGGUGAGGUAUGUAUGGGGAUCGGCCUGAUGGCGGGGGAGUAACUACUGGAAACGGUAGCUAAUACCGCAUAAUGUCUACGGACCAAAGCGGGGGACCUCCGGGCCUCGCGCCAUCAGAUGAACCCAUAUGGGAUUAGCUUGUAGGUAAGGUAACGGCUUACCUAGGCGACGAUCCCUAGCUGGUCUGAGAGGAUGAUCAGCCACACUGGGACUGAGACACGGCCCAG